rnacentral:lncRNA from 1 species
UGGCCAAGUUGGCUCAAGGUCCUAUAGCUUUAAGAGUAAGAUGUGUAUAAAAGAUUGGUGUUCCCAGAUUUUUGAAGAAUUUGAAGGGCUUAGAAAAUGGAGCUGCUGGGGAAAGUAGGGUCAUGCCUGAAGAGGAGCACUGGAACGCCGAAGUAGAGGUGCAGUUGCCUGAUGUGAAGAAUGUGUGUUGCAGAGGCCACAUUGAACAGUUGGUCUCUGGCGGGGAGCCUCAGACAGGACACUGAGAAGUCACUGCAGGGCCUGAGUCGCUGAGCCUGCAUGGCAGCACAGAGAACUGGAAUGCCUUAAAAUAAAAAUUGCAAAUGCAACAGAUUUAAUCAA